AAAGUUGUCUUUGGAAUUCACUUAAUGUCGGGCUAUUUGUUUUAUGGUUUUAUAAUUUUGAAACUUAUACUGGAUGUGAAAUGAAUGAAACUAGAAGUUAAACAAGUACAUUGUAAAUAUUACUCUAUUUCUAGAACUUUGAAAGCAACUAUAACUUUAUCAGAUAAUAGGUAAUAAAAUGUGUUGUUAUUUUCUUCUAGAUGGUUCUUUUGGUUUUGCAUUGGUAGUGAUAU
rnacentral:misc_RNA from 1 species